UACGAAGGGGGCUAGCGUUGUUCGGAAUUACUGGGCGUAAAGCGCACGUAGGCGGCUCUUUAAGUCGGGGGUGAAAUCCUGAGGCUCAACCUCAGAACUGCCUUCGAUACUGGCAAUCUCGAGUCCGGAAGAGGUUGGUGGAACAGCUAGUGUAGAGGUGAAAUUCGUAGAUAUUAGCUAGAACACCAGUGGCGAAGGCGGCCAACUGGUCCGGUACUGACGCUGAGGUGCGAAAGCGUGGGGAGCAAACAGG
rnacentral:rRNA from 1 species